GUAAUAUAUCGGAACGUACCCAGUAGCGGGGGAUAGCCCGGCGAAAGCCGGAUUAAUACCGCAUACGCCCUAAGGGGGAAAGGGGGGGAUCGCAAGACCUCUCACUAUUGGAGCGGCCGAUGGCUGAUUAGCUAGUUGGUGGGGUAAAGGCCUACCAAGGCAACGAUCAGUAGCUGGUCUGAGAGGACGACCAGCCACACUGGGACUGAGACACGGCCCAGACUCCUACGGGAGGCAGCAGUGGGGAAUUUUGGACAAUGGGCGAAAGCCUGAUCCAGCAAUGCCGCGUGUGCGAAGAAGGCCUUCGGGUUGUAAAGCACUUUUGUCAGGGAAGAAAUCGUUCGGGCCAAUACCCCGGGCAGUUGACGGUACCUGGAGAAUAAGCACCGGCUAACUACGUGCCAGCAGCCGCGGUAAUACGUAGGGUGCAAGCGUUAAUCGGAAUUACUGGGCGUAAAGCGUGCGCAGGUGGUUCGUUAAGACAGUUGUGAAAUCCCCGGGCUUAACCUGGGAACUGCAAUUGUGACUGGCGGACUAGAGUUUGGCAGAGGGGGGUGGAAUUCCUGGUGUAGCAGUGAGAUGCGUAGAUAUCAGGAGGAACACCGAUGGCGAAGGCAGCCCCCUGGGCCAUGACUGACACUCAUGCA
rnacentral:rRNA from 1 species